rnacentral:rRNA from 1 species
AUUGAACGCUGGCGGCAGGCCUAACACAUGCAAGUCGAACGGUAACAGGAAGCAGCUUGCUGCUUCGCUGACGAGUGGCGGACGGGUGAGUAAUGUCUGGGAAACUGCCUGAUGGAGGGGGAUAACUACUGGAAACGGUAGCUAAUACCGCAUAACGUCGCAAGACCAAAGAGGGGGACCUUCGGGCCUCUUGCCAUCGGAUGUGCCCAGAUGGGAUAAGCUAGUAGGCGGGGUAACGGCUCACCUAGGCGACGAUCCCUAGCUGGUCUGAGAGGAUGACCAGCCACACUGGAACUGAGACACGGUCCAGACUCCUACGGGAGGCAGCAGUGGGGAAUAUUGCACAAUGGGCGCAAGCCUGAUGCAGCCAUGCCGCGUGUAUGAAGAAGGCCUUCGGGUUGUAAAGUACUUUCAGCGGGGAGGAAGGCGAUAAGGUUAAUAACCUUGUCGAAUGACGUUACCCGCAGAAGAAGCACCGGCUAACUCCGUGCCAGCCGCCGCCGUAA